rnacentral:lncRNA from 1 species
AUGAGUCAUCUCACUGACUCUUGUGAGCCCAGAGAGAUCCAAUGCAGGGUGCCUCACUCCAUGCUCAAGUCACAGAUGUACCCGCCUUCAUCUGACUGAUACAGGCUAGAGCCAAUAUUCAAGGCCUGGUCAUUUUCCUCGCAAGGUGCCCAUUUCCUCUCAUGCCGUGCUUCCCUAACAGGAGGCUCCAGAGAGGCACCAACAGGACACCUGGGCUUCUUGCUGAUUAAUCUCGCAGUGUUAAACACUUCUGCGGAAUAAAACAAUGAUGUCAACAAACAAAAUGGAGAAUAUCUUGAAUUCAACAACUGUGCACAGGAGAGAAGACUGUAUUUUUGGUUUGGAACACUGUCAAAAGGUGUUCACUAUUUUGGAAAAUGGCAGUGCCUGACAUCCCUGACAGAAGCGCUUCUCAUGGUGGUGUAGCCACAUGACACUUCUGUAUUAGCCUGGACUUACAGCUGUGGCUUUCAGUAGUGAUUCUACUUACAGUAAAAGGUAGGCUCUCUGUCUGUUGUGUGGACUAGCACAUCCCAAGCACCUACACAGGACCUGGAACAUAGAGGGCACCUGAUGAAUACACUGAGGCACAAAGAAGUUUAAAUAACCCACCCAAGGUCCCACCGCUGUUUUACAGCCUCCCAGAGAGCGGUCUUCCAAUCUCUGUUCAUGAAUUACAGAAUAAUGAAGUCUUAGAUGGGAAAUAACCUGAAAAACGUCCUCGUCUGUCCUCUUCACUUCUCCUACCCACCAGGAUACCAGGCAUGUUUCAUUUGAAUAAUUUUGGAAAAAGUUUGAAGGCUACUCUUCCAGAGGACCAGUGGCCUGCAUUGUAGCAGAGAGACGGGGUGAUCACUGUUAUUCAGACAUGCUUUCUUUACAACACACAACUGAGCAAACAAGACAGCAGGCAACUGCAUAUGCGACCACUUAUCCCUUUCCCGAUUUGCAUUUGUGGAAAACAAGUUUCAGAUUUAACAGCGAGUCUUUUACAACUCUGCUUGACUCCAUUAAUGACAGCUCAGUUUUUCAACGUUGCAAGAAAAAGAGCCAGAUAUCAUUCAGAGUGAUAAUGUGACAACCCAAAUGUGAGUCCUGGACUGAGAACAGAACGGAAGAUGA